AUCUCACUGGAGAUCCUCAUCUACCCGAGGCCUUCCAAAGUUCUCAAGAAUUAAAAUGUGGUGGUAAAUGUGGUCUGGCUAGAUCAGCUAGGUGGUUGGCUUCUGUUCUCUGCAGAUGGCAGCAGAGGGAUGGUCUGACAAAAUGGCAUCUGACAUGGGAGUGCGGAUGAAGCAGAAGUAUAGAAUUGAAUUCCUCCAUGUGGGGAAAAAAUUGCAACAGUUGAUGUUCAUGGGCACUUGUGGAACACUUAUGGAGACCAACAAGUGGAUGUGAGCACAGUGAGGCAGCAGAUGAUGUGUUGCAACAGCGGGUCACUUCCUCUGGUGCAGAUUUUUAGGAGUGCAGCAUGCAGGCUCUUGUUCAUCUCUGUUGAAAAUGCAUAGCUAAUGGCAAUGACUAUGCUGAAAAACAGUGUUUUGUAGCUGAGAAUUUGCUCUAUCUAAUAGUAUUGUUGUGCUCUCUGUAUCUAUGCAAAAAAAAAUGGGAGGCAUUACUUUUGAAGCAACCUACUUGUAUUUAAAACAUGCUGAUAGUCACCUGCAUUUAAGACAGUGUCUUAUCUGUAGACUCCAACUGGGCAAUUACUGUGGGAUCUGUGCUGGAUCCAGAAGGGAUGAAAGAUGGACUGCAUAUUUAGCAACCACCCUAGCUUUGUGUGCAUUCUUCAAGUAGCUCUUCUGCAAACCUUUUCUUGUAAUCUCCUGCCAAAUGCCUGCAGUGGAACUCCACUAGUUCUUUCUGCAUCUGUGAUAGAUAUGAAUGAUAGAUUUUUCCAUCAGUAAAAUUGUACUUAUUUGAGGGAUUUUACUGUGUUUUACUGAAUAAUGUCUAAACACUGCAACAGUUGCUUGUCUAAUUGGUAUAGUCAUCUCCAAUGCGGGUAUUCUGUUUUUAGCCUUCUCACUUAGCAGAAGAUGGCUUACUGUCAUGAAUGGGGCCUGCAAGGCAGGUGCUAGCUAAUUGCAUGCGUUCAUCUCAGCUGCCAGGGUUCUGCCCAGCUGAGCACAUCAGGGUUCAUCUGAACCAUGACUGUGGUCAACAACAACCCAGAACAAGGGAUUGCUUGUCCUGCUGUGGUAACAACAAAACGCCACAGGGCAGUGCUGGGUGUUUAACAGUUCUUCAUGAUUUUGUGUAGCACAAAUGCUGAACAAAGCACAGUGGAUGAAUGAUGUAAUGCAUUUUUCCGAGAAAUACAGGGAAAAGAAAAUCAUAAUAAAUCUCUUCAGUGAGUGGGAUGUUCUUUGGAGAAUGAAGUAGGCCAUGCUCAGCAGCCUCCUGUCUGGUGCCACCUUUCUGAUAAUUGCAUAGUUACUCCAUAGUGAAGAACUGUACCUCAAAAUAAAGGAAACAACAUUAUAAUAUAAUCAU
rnacentral:lncRNA from 1 species